rnacentral:rRNA from 1 species
AUUGAACGCUAGCGGGAUGCCUUACACAUGCAAGUCGAACGGAGUGGCGAACGGGUGGGUAAUGUAUCGGUACGUACCCAGUCUCGAGGGAUAACUAAGCGAAAGCGUAGCUAAUACAGCAUACUAUUGGAGCGGCCGAUAUGGGAGUAGCUAGUUGCAGGGGUAACGGCUUACCAAGGCGACGAACCGUAGCCGGGUUGAGAGGCCGACCAGCCACACUGGGACUGAGACACGGCCCAGACGCCUACGGGAGGCAGCAGUGGGGAAUUUUGGACAAUGGGGGAAAGCCUGAUCCAGCAAUGCCGCGUGUGCGAUGAAGGCCUUCGGGUCGUAAAGCACUUUUGGCAGGAAAGCGGUACCUGAAGAAUAAGCACCGGCUAACUACGUGCCAGCCGCCGCGGUAAUUC